UGGGGAAUAUUGGACAAUGGGGGCAACCCUGAUCCAGCAAUGCCGCGUGUGUGAAGAAGGUUUUCGGAUUGUAAAGCACUUUCGGCGGGGACGAUGAUGACGGUACCCGCAGAAGAAGCCCCGGCUAACUUCGUGCCAGCAGCCGCGGUAAUACGAAGGGGGCUAGCGUUGCUCGGAAUGACUGGGCGUAAAGGGCGUGUAGGCGGUUUGUACAGUCAGAUGUGAAAUCCCCGGGCUUAACCUGGGAGCUGCAUUUGAUACGU
rnacentral:rRNA from 1 species